rfam:Culex pipiens quinquefasciatus supercont3.3098 genomic scaffold, whole genome shotgun sequence.
GGCUCCGUGGCUUAAUGGUUACGGCUUCUGCCUCACAAGCAGAAGGUUCAGGGAUCAAAUCCCGGCCGGUUCCU